rnacentral:misc_RNA from 1 species
GUAACAAGGUCUCCGUUGGUGAACCAGCGGAGGGAUCAUUACAGAGUUAUCUAACUCCCAAAACCCAUGUGAACUUACCUUUGUUGCCUCGGCAGAAGCUACCUGUACCUACCUGGAACAGCCUACCUGGAGCGAUCCGGGCUGGCCUACCUGGAACGGUCUGGUGGUCGACUGCCGGUGGACCAUUCAACUCUUGUUAUUUUAUUGUAAUCUGAGCGUCUUAUUUUAAUAAGUCAAAACUUUCAACAACGGAUCUCUUGGUUCUGGCAUCGAUGAAGAACGCAGCGAAAUGCGAUAAGUAAUGUGAAUUGCAGAAUUCAGUGAAUCAUCGAAUCUUUGAACGCACAUUGCGCCCAUUAGUAUUCUAGUGGGCAUGCCUGUUCGAGCGUCAUUUCAACCCUUAAGCCUAGCUUAGUAUUGGGAGUCUACUGUAUUGUAGUUCCUCAAAUCCAACGGCGGAUCUGUGGUAUCCUCUGAGCGUAGUAAAUUUUUAUCUCGCUUUUGUCAGGUGCUGCAGCUCCCAGCCGCUAAACCCCCAAAUUUUUUAAUGGUUGACCUCGGAUCAGGUAGGAAUACCCGCUGAACUUAAGCAUAUCAAU